CGGAACCAAAAGAGCCCUGUUUUUUUCCUUUUGCCUACAAAAAAAAGGUUUACUCAGCAUGUACAACCGAUGGUACUUUAAGCUGGAAACUCUGGUGCUCCCUCACCGGCAAUUAUGAUACAGAUUACAAGUGGAGAUACUGUGAGCCUUCAGAUUUACCAAGUGAAGACCCAUGAAGACUGAAACAAGUAACUAAUAAUCUGCCGCUUAGAUUACAAAAUCAUCCAACCAAUAGCUUGGACAUCUGUGAUUUCUACUACUCUGUGUUAAUUUGGGAGCAGGAUUUAACCCAUCUAUUUCUGAUUCUAGUUUAUUUUCAUUGAUACCACAAGUGAAAUCUUUUAGAAGCCACUGGUCUGUAUUUCACUCGGGAUCUUGAUGUUGUGGAUGAUUCACAUCAGCACUAAUAAUAUUUUCUUAGACUUUUAGUUAUGUGAAGAGUAGUGCUUAAAUGAGAUUGAAUGCUUGAGUGUGGGGUUCUGAAUUAGACUUUGAUUAAUCACAUCUAGCUUAACUUAUAAAAUAGAUAUAAUACUUAAAAUUAAACUCUUUAUACUUUAUAUCUCCCUGCUGAUGUGGUUAUAUGUCUGUGUAUUUUCUAUACAUUUGCUUAAUCCCCUAAUGAUUCACACAUUAUUUUUUAAUCCAGCACAUUGCUGGUUAUUUAAUUAUUUUAAAAAUAUAACAAGUUUUUAAACCUUUGAUUAUACAGAAGAGUUUAAGGAA